UACAGAGGGUGCGAGCGUUGUUCGGAAUUAUUGGGCGUAAAGCGCGCGUAGGCGGCUACUUAAGUCGGAUGUGAAAGCCCUUGGCUCAACUGAGGAAGUGCACCCGAAACUGAGUGGCUUGAGUACUAAAGAGGGUCGCGGAAUUCCCGGUGUAGAGGUGAAAUUCGUAGAUAUCAAGAGGAACACCUGAGGUGAAGACGGGUUGCUGGGCUGAUACUGACGCUGAGGCGCGAAAGCUAGGGGUAGCAAACGGG
rnacentral:rRNA from 1 species